UAGGGAAUAUUGGACAAUGGUUGCAAGACUGAUCCAGCCAUGCCGCGUGCAGGAAGAAGGCCUUCUGGGUUGUAAACUGCUUUUCCCCGGGGAUAAAAAGACCCUGCGGGGUAAAUUGAAGGUACCGGGGGAAUAAGCCACGGCUAACUACGUGCCAGCAGCCGCGGUAAUACGUAGGUGGCAAGCGUUGUCCGGAUUUAUUGGGUUUAAAGGGUGCGUAGGCGGCCCUGUAAGUCAGUGGUGAAAUACGGCAGCUCAACUGUCGAGGUGCCAUCGAUACUGCGGGGCUUGAGUACUGAUGAGGUAGGCGGAAUUGGCGGUGUAGCGGUGAAAUGCUUAGAUAUCGUCAAGAACACCGAUAGCGAAGGCAGCUUACUAAGGAGUAACUGACGCUGAGGCACGAAAGUGCGGGGAUCAAACAGGAUUAGAUACC
rnacentral:rRNA from 1 species